rnacentral:rRNA from 1 species
GAUGAACGCUGGCGGCGCGCCUAACACAUGCAAGUCGAACGAUUAAAGCACCUUCGGGUGUGUAUAAAGUGGCGAACGGCUGAGUAACACGUGGGCAACCUGCCCCUCUCAUUGGGAUAGCCACGGGAAACCGUGGAUAAUACCGAAUACUUCGGGACCUCCGCAUGGAAGACUCGAGAAAGCUCCGGCGGAGAGGGAUGGGCCCGCGGCCUGUUAGCUUGUUGGUGGGGUAAUGGCCUACCAAGGCAAUGAUGGGUAGCUGGGUUGAGAGACCGACCAGCCAGAUUGGGACUGAGACACGGCCCAGACUCCUACGGGAGGCAGCAGUGGGGAAUCUUGCACAAUGGGCGAAAGCCUGAUGCAGCGACGCCGCGUGCGGGAUGAAGGCCUUCGGGUUGUAAACCGCUUUCAGCAGGGACGAGGCGAAAGUGACGGUACCUGCAGAAGAAGCCCCGGCUAACUACGUGCCAGCAGCCGCGGUAAUACGUAGGGGGCAAGCGUUAUCCGGAUUCAUUGGGCGUAAAGCGCUCGUAGGCGGUCUGUUAGGUCGGGAGUUAAAUCCGGGGGCUCAACCCCCGUUCGCUCCCGAUACCGGCAGACUUGAGUUUGGUAGGGGAAGGUGGAAUUCCUAGUGUAGCGGUGGAAUGCGCAGAUAUUAGGAAGAACACCAGUGGCGAAGGCGGCCUUCUGGGCCAUAACUGACGCUGAGGAGCGAAAGCUAGGGGAGCAAACAGG